GUCUUCGUGGAGUAAUACAACUCGCUCCCACUCGCUUAGUUGUUCCACUGAGUCCAUAACGGAGAGUCGGUGGUUCGAAUCCACCCGAAGACA